rnacentral:SRP_RNA from 8 species
CCUCUAGACCUGUGCAAGGGUGCGUUUAGACAUCGUGUCAGGGUAGGAAUACAGCAGCACACCUAGACGUGUUUUGUGCCGCAGGUAUCUGGGGGAGU